rnacentral:lncRNA from 1 species
CCCACAAUGUUCCUACCCCUAAAGCAAAGGCUAACACUAGCUAAACUUCCCUCGCUACUCGAAACUCAACAAUGUGAAGUGCCAAUCGAUAUUCUCACUUCCUCUUCUUGGCUGGUGGCUGGGGUGUUUCCUCCUCUUCGUCUUCUUCGUCCUCAUCUUCGUCCUCAUCCUCAUCUUCAUCAUCGUCAUCUCCAUUGUCAUCAUCGUCAUCGUCAUCUUCCUCAUCACCUCCAGCUCUUCCAUCACCAUUUGCUUCAGGAUCAUCCUCUGGAUCACCGUCAUCACCUUCUUCACCUCCAGAGAAAUCUUCAUCAUCGUCGUCGUCAUCCUGAUCAUUCGCAUCAUCGUCGUCGUCGUCAUCUUCAUCAUCCUCCGUUUCACUGCCAUCUUUGUUUUCCUGAUCAGGG